rnacentral:lncRNA from 1 species
AUGCCCCCUUAUAACAUCCAAAUUAUAAUUUUUGAUGUACGAAGUCAUAAUUUAACCGUAGGAUAUUAUGAUAUGACCACAUGAUGCUAUAAUUUUUUAGAAGUGGAGGGAUAUUUUUAUCAUUCAAAAUUUAAAAUGAAAAAGCAGAACUGCAGAUAUUAAAUGUACGUUGGUAAGCGGUGGCUACAUAGCCCAAUCAGAUAGGAC